AUUCGUCUGACUCGGUUUCUCGCCUGCCAAGAACCUUCCGCGUGGUGCCGGCUCCUCACUCGUUCAGAGACAAGAUGAUGUCGUCCUCCAGGUCGGAGUUGUCCGAGCUGUCGGCUGCAAGGCAGCCACCGAAGGGCCACCUGUCAUCACUCCACAUCCACAAGAAUGAGGCCAACCCCAAGGACAGCCCUCUAACUCCCAUGGUGUCCAGGCAAUGCUAACUUCCUUACACGACCUCCUCCUCAAACUCAGACACUGGUGUCAUAUGAACCCAGGUGACAGUCCCCAGAGAAGACUGCUACCCACAAACAACCUCAAAAACUGCAAGGAUGUGAGAGGGUAGAGGUAACGAUAUUGACAAAAUAAAGCAAUUUUUGCUUCAGAUUUCUAGUUCAUAACCCUAACCUCUCCUGCUAAGUUCACAAUCAAGAUCACGGCUUUCGACUUCUCACUAGAGCUCCUAAUAAGGCAAUACGACAA